CUAAGAAUCUUACUUUGAAUUUAAGUGCCUAACAAAUCAUUUGACUUUCGUAACUGAUGAAGGUGUGUGAUCUCAUGAAGCAAAGAGCUAGUGAGUACCUUGGAUGAGGUUUCUUUUACAUGCUAAGAUGAUACCUUUGAAGAAUUAAAGGGCUAGUUCCUGGUUCCUCCUCAGUUUACAACAAUGUGUGAUAGUGUCAACAGUGUGUACAAGUUGACAUUCAAGUAUGGUGGAUACUUCAAGGAAAUUAAAGGCACUACAAGAUUGAAGUAUCAUUUGGGAAAACAAAAAUCAAUUACUAUAGAUGCCGAUUUAUACAACAAAAUGAAUAUGGAAGAAGAUCUAUCUCAAUUCUACAGUUGGGGGUUGAAUCAAAUACCAAU